AUCUGGGCUGAUGGUCUGGGAUGAAAGUGCAAAGUGGAAACUGCUCCAAUCCAGACCGCUCUGAAGGAACCAGCCACGUCCUUCUGGAGGACCGAUUUCCUCAUGGUGACUGGCAAGUCCUCAGCACAAACACACCAUGGAUGAAAAACGGGAAUGCAACCAGACUGCACUGUACAGCAUGGACAUGUGGACAUGUUGAAGGAAUUGUCACAGCUGUACCAAGGCUAACUUCGCUGGCAGGAACCUGCCAUCCCAAGCUCACCAUGGACCCCCCAGCCAAAGCACGUGGACCAGAGCAUGCUACUCCUAAUAGAAAACCACUUGGGUCUGCAGGGGCUGCACCACCACAAUUUUGUUGCAAGAACACAUUUUUGGGAAAAAUUCCACUGAAAUUUUAA
rnacentral:lncRNA from 1 species